rnacentral:misc_RNA from 1 species
GAUGAAGAACGCAGCGAAAUGCGAUAAGUAAUGUGAAUUGCAGAAUUCAGUGAAUCAUCGAAUCUUUGAACGCACCUUGCACCCUUUGGUAUUCCGAAGGGUAUGCUCGUUUGAGUGUCAUUGUACUCUCACACUUCCGAUCGUUUGGAUCGGGAGCGGUGGACUUGGGUGUUGCUGCUUUACUGUGGCUCACCUUAAAUGCAUUAGUGCACCUUUCGGUUGGACAUAGUACGGCGUGAUAAGUGUCUUCGCCGGCACCUCACAGAGGGUGGCUGAUCGGGAUGUUGUGCUCCAAACCGUCUUCGGACAAUCUCUGACGACUUGACCUCAAAUCGAGUAAGACUACCCGCUGAACUUAAGCAUAUCAAUAAGCGGAGGA